GGGCCCGCACAAGCGGUGGAGCAUGUGGUUUAAUUCGAUGAUACGCGAGGAACCUUACCAGGGCUUAAAUGUAGUGGGACAGGUCUAGAGAUAGACCCUUCUUCGGACUCAUUACAAGGUGCUGCAUGGUUGUCGUCAGCUCGUGCCGUGAGGUGUCAGGUUAAGUCCUAUAACGAGCGCAACCCCUAUCGUUAGUUGCCAGCGAGUAAUGUCGGGAACUCUAACGAAACUGCCAGUGCAAACUGUGAGGAAGGUGGGGAUGACGUCAAAUCAUCACGGCCCUUACGUCCUGGGCUACACACGUGCUACAAUGGCCGGUACAGAGAGCAGCCACUUCGCAAGAAGGAGCGAAAUCUCAAAAAGCUGUCUCAGUUCGGAUUGGAGUCUGCAACUCGACUCUAAUG
rnacentral:rRNA from 1 species